rnacentral:rRNA from 1 species
AUUGAACGCUGGCGGCAGGCCUAACACAUGCAAGUCGAACGGUAACAGGAAGCAGCUUGCUGCUUUGCUGACGAGUGGCGGACGGGUGAGUAAUGUCUGGGAAACUGCCUGAUGGAGGGGGAUCACUACUGGAAACGGUAGCUAAUACCGCAUAACGUCGCACGACCACAGCGGGGGACCUUCGGGCCUCUUGCCCUCGGAUGUGCCCAGAUGGGAUUAGCUAGUAGGUGGGGUAACGGCUCCCCUAGGCGACGAUCCCUCGCUGGUCUGAGAGGAUGACCAGCCACACUGGAACUGAGACACGGUCCAGACUCCUACGGGAGGCAGCAGUGGGGAAUAUUGCACAAUGGGGGCAAGCCUGAUGCAGCCAUGCCGGGUGUAUGAAGAAGGCCGUCGGGUUGUAAAGUACUUUCAGCGGGGGGGAAGGGAGUAAAGUUAAUACCUUUGCUCAUUGACGUUACCCGCAGAAGAAGCACCGGCUAACUCCGUG